AGAUACAUACUAAAUGAUAUGCUUUAGGGCAUACUACUAACACUACUUGCUGAUUUUCGGAUUCCAUUACAAAGUCCCAUCCCCUUAUAUUGCAAUAAUCAGGCAGCUAUUCACAUCAGCGCUAAUCUGACUUUCUAUGAAUGAACAAAACAUAUCGAUAUUGACUGCCAUGUUGUUCGUGAUCAUAUUAACAGCGGCUUUCUCAAAACUGUUCAUACUCCAUCUCGACUUCAGCUCACUGAUGUUUUUUACCAAGCCUCUUUCAGCUGCUACUUUCACUUUUCUGUUGUCCAAGCUAGGCCUGGUUGCCUUACACCAGUCCUCAGCUUGAGGGGGGGAUGAAGCAUGAUGUAAAUUAUGUAGCUUGAUAAAAUAGGCACGCAAAUUUGUUAUCCGGCUGGUAAUAGCUCAUUGUUAGUUCAAGUAGUUUCUAGAAUAGUUUUAGUCUUGCACAUAAACGCUAGCAAGCUAUUAUUUUCAGGUGUGCAAGUGCAGAAAGCAUUUUCUACAAAUCAUUUUUUGUUCUCUGUUUACCCCUGUUUCAAGAUAUGAUAGAAACAGGAGACGUUAUUUAUUACUACACUGUUGUAGUAAACUUUUGAAGUAUAUAAAACCGAAUAUAGUGGCCAUAUAGUUACACUAUUGUAAAAACUAAAUGGAUAGAUAUUAUAGUAUUUCAG
rnacentral:misc_RNA from 1 species